rnacentral:rRNA from 1 species
UACGUAGGGAGCGAGCGUUAUCCGGAUUUAUUGGGUGUAAAGGGUGCGUAGACGGGAGAACAAGUUAGUUGUGAAAUCCCUCGGCUUAACUGAGGAACUGCAACUAAAACUAUUUUUCUUGAGUGCUGGAGAGGGAAGUGGAAUUCUUAGUGUAGCGGUGAAAUGCGUAGAUAUUAGGAGGAACACCAGUGGCGAAGGCGACUUUCUGGACAGUAACUGACGUUGAGGCACGAAAGUGUGGGGAGCAAAC